rnacentral:tRNA from 1 species
GGUGAGAUGGCCGAGCGGUCUAAGGCGCCGCACUCAAGUUGCGGUCUAGUAAUAGGCGGGGGUUCGAAUCCCCCUCUCAUCA